rnacentral:rRNA from 1 species
AGUGAACGCUGGCGGUAGGCCUAACACAUGCAAGUCGAACGGCAGCACAGUAAGAGCUUGCUCUUACGGGUGGCGAGUGGCGGACGGGUGAGGAAUACAUCGGAAUCUACUUUUUCGUGGGGGAUAACGUAGGGAAACUUACGCUAAUACCGCAUACGACCUACGGGUGAAAGCAGUGGAUCUUCGGACCUUGCGCGAUUGAAUGAGCCGAUGUCGGAUUAGCUAGUUGGCGGGGUAAAGGCCCACCAAGGCGACGAUCCGUAGCUGGUCUGAGAGGAUGAUCAGCCACACUGGAACUGAGACACGGUCCAGACGCCUACGGGAGGCAGCAGUGGGGAAUAUUGGACAAUGGGCGCAAGCCUGAUCCAGCCAGACCGCGUGGGUGAAGAAGGCGUUCGGGUUGUAAAGACCUUUUGUUGGGAAAGAAAAGCAGCAGGUUAAUACCCAGCUGUUCUGACGGUACCCAAAGAAUAAGCACCGGCUAACUUCGUG